rnacentral:rRNA from 1 species
ACUUGUACCUGGUGGCGAGUGGCGAACGGGUGAGUAAUACAUCGGAACGUACCUUAUCGUGGGGGAUAACGCAGCGAAAGCUGUGCUAAUACCGCAUACGCCCUGAGGGGGAAAGCGGGGGAUCGAAAGACCUCGCGCGAUUAGAGCGGCCGAUGCCUGAUUAGCUUGUUGGUGGGGUAAAAGCCCACCAAGGCGACGAUCAGUAGCUGGUCUGAGAGGACGAUCAGCCACACUGGGACUGAGACACGGCCCAGACUCCUACGGGAGGCAGCAGUGGGGAAUUUUGGACAAUGGGGGAAACCCUGAUCCAGCAAUGCCGCGUGAGUGAAGAAGGCCUUCGGGUUGUAAAGCUCUUUUGUCAGGGAAGAAACACCGGCUCUAACACAGUCCGGGAAUGACGGUACCUGAAGAAUAAGCACCGGCUAACUACGUGCCAGCAGCCGCGGUAAUACGUAGGGUGCAAGCGUUAAUCGGCAUUACUGGGCGUAAAGCGUGCGCAGGCGGUUAUGUAAGACAGAGGUGAAAUCCCCGGGCUCAACCUGGGAACUGCCUUUGUGACUGCAUAGCUAGAGUACGGUAGAGGGGGAUGGAAUUCCGCGUGUAGCAGUGAAAUGCGUAGAUAUGCGGAGGAACACCGAUGGCGAAGGCAAUCCCCUGGACCUGUACUGACGCUCAUGCACGAAAGCGUGGGGAGCAAACA